CACGUAGGGCGCGAGCGUUGUCCGGAAUUAUUGGGCGUAAAGAGCUUGUAGGUGGCUCGUUGCGUCGGGAGUGAAAACCUGCGGCUUAACCGCAGGCCUGCUUCCGAUACGGGCGAGCUAGAGUUCGGCAGGGGAGACUGGAAUUCCUGGUGUAGCGGUGGAAUGCGCAGAUAUCAGGAGGAACACCGGUGGCGAAGGCGGGUCUCUGGGCCGAUACUGACACUGAGAAGCGAAAGCGUGGGGAGCGAACAGG
rnacentral:rRNA from 1 species